GCCUGGGUGGCUCAGUGGUUGAGCAUCUGCCUUUGGCUCACAGCAUGAUCCCAGUUGUGGGAUCGAGUCCCACACCGGGCU
rnacentral:tRNA from 1 species